GGUGCUUCUCCUGGCGCGACACGCUCUGGAAGAUGACGACACUGUGGACAAAACUUCGGCUUAGAAGCUGUUUGGACUUUUUCAAACAGAGCAGCCACCACCGUUCGGGCAUCGAGGGAGUUGUGGGGACCUUUGGAUCUGGAGCUGCUCUUUCAAAUUCUGGGGAACUGGCGAGAUCGGUUGACCACGCAGUGGUCCCGGUGAAGCGUCUAGAGGUGGAGCUGCUCCAAGGACUGCCGGUGGACUUCACCUUAAGCGAAAGCCUACCCGAUGCCUACCUAACGC